GGGGGGGGGGGGGGGCAGGCCGGGCAGGUGCGAGGCGGACGGGCCUGUCGGGGUUAGUGGCGGACGGGUGAGUAACACGUGGGAACGUGCCUUUAGGUUCGGAAUAACUCAGGGAAACUUGUGCUCAUACCGAAUGUGCCCUUCGGGGGAAAGAUUUAUCGCCUUUAGAGCGGCCCGCGUCUUAUUAGCUAGUUGGUUGAGGUAAUUGCUCACCAAGGCGACGAUCAGUAGCUGGUCUGAGAGGAUGAUCAGCCACAUUGGGACUGAGACACGGCCCAAACUCCUACGGGAGGCAGCAGUGGGGAAUCGUGCGCAAUGGGCGAAAGCCUGACGCAGCCAUGCCGCGUGAAUGAUGAAGGUCUUAGGAUUGUAAAAUUCUUUCACCGGGGACGAUAAUGACGGUACCCGGAGAAGAAGCCCCGGCUAACUUCGUG
rnacentral:rRNA from 1 species